rnacentral:rRNA from 1 species
GAUGAACGCUGGCGGCGUGCCUAAUACAUGCAAGUCGAGCGAACCGACGGGGAGGUUGCUCCGAUGAGGUUAGAGGCGGAGGGGAGGGUAACUCGUGGGUGACCUACCUUUAAGAAUGGGAUAAGUUUGGGAAACAGGAGCUAAUAGGGGAAGAUAUAUUGAACAAGGUGGGUCCAUAGUGGAAGAAGGUUUUGAUGGCGCUUAUAGAUGGAUACGCGCCGGAUUAGCUAGUGGGUAAGGUAACGGCUUACCAAUGCAACGAUGCGUAGCCGACCUGAGAGGGUGAUCUGCCACACUGGAACUGAGACACGGUCCAGACUCCUACGGGAGGCAGCAGUAGGGAAUCUUCCGCAAUGGGCGAAAUCCGGACGCAUCAACGCCGCGUGAGUGAUUAAGUUCUUCGGAUCGUAUAACUCUUUUAGUAGUGAAGAACGAAAGUGUAUUUAACUAUGCACGUCUUGACGGUACCUAAUCAGAAAGCCACGGCUAACUUCGGU